GAAAAAGAAAAAAAAUCUGAAUCAACUGAAUUAACCCAUCAAAUCAGGUUAAUACGUCAAACCUUGGAUUCGUGUCGUGAAAAUUUGAUAACUAAAUAGAAAAAAAAAAAAAAUUGAUGGUUACCCAUAAUUAAUUGGGCUAGCCUGUGAAACCAGAUUAAUCCAUCAAACCCAGGAUCCGUGUUAUAAAAGUUUGAUACCUAAAUAUAAAAAAAUUUAACAAUAACAAACUAAAUUAAACAAAAA